CCCAGCUCCGCCGAGAGGCCGCUCGCGACAGGUCCUUCCUCUUCCCCAAGUGCAGGCAGAGCCCCCGGAGCCACUGCCAGCCCUUCCCGCAGCUCCGAAACCACUGGCAAGCCCCGAGGCAGGGAUGGCCCUCCCAGGAGGGAGGAGGACGACGUCCCUCCCGAGGAGAAGAGGCUGCGGCUGUUGCUGGAGGGGGGAAGCGCACAGCCCGGCGACUGCGAGGACGGGGAGGACGCGCCGCGGCCGGGCAGGGAGGAGACCGGCACCCAGACAGGUGGCGACGGCAGAGGAGGCUUCCGCUGGGACUAGGAUCAGGAAUAUGCACACCCCCAACCUGGACCGUCUGGCCAGGGAGGGUGU
rnacentral:lncRNA from 1 species